CCGCGUUCAGAUGAUUUAUCAAACAUAAUUAUUGUUAAUUAAAAACUAAAGUGUUUAAAAAUAAAAAAAUGACUUUUAAACCGAUUCUAAGUACAAUAUUAAUAAUCUUAACAAAACAGCAGCUUCAAGUAUAUGCAAAUAAUGUAACCAAAUUUGGAAAUACCAGCACUGAACCCAUUGGAAAGGAAAUUAUAAAUUGUUCCUAUGAGAAUACAAUUAAUAUCACUGAGACAACGUUACUAUCAAAUGGUUCCUAUAUAUAUGAUAAUGAAACUCUUAUACCGCCCGAUCUUGUGGGUAAUUAUGAUUAUGAAAUUCUAUAUAAUGACAGUCGGCGUUCAGUGCCACAACAUAAGCGUGCCUGUAUCUGUCACCUAAAAACAUGCAUUACCUUCUGUUCGAAUAUCAUUUCCGAUACCUAUAAUUAUGUUGUAGAAAACAAUAUGUCUUAUGCAUUAGAUAUGUUUUCAAUUGAAAUGACACUAAAAAAUCAAACGGUUGUCACGAAAAACAUUGCCAGAGAUUUUAUGCCUAAUGUGCUGAAUGAGUUUUGUGAAGCAAGUUACAUACUAUCACCCGAAGAAAAUAGUUGGACUUUAGAUGAAAAUGGCAAUUUACAACUCCCCGAUAAUAAGAUACAACUUAAAAGGAACCAGUAUUGCAUUGAUAUUCAUAAAAUAAUUACUGAAAUGAGACAUAUGAUUUUAUAAGUCCCACAAUCUGUGCAAAAAGAGAAAUUAAAUGAUACAUUAGAAAAGUUCAAUUAUUGGGUUCAAGUGAUUUCCGUAAUAUUUCUUCUUUUAACCAUUAUCUUAUAUUGCUGUCUAACACCCCUAAGUAUCCACGGAAAACUUAUAAUAUCCUACUCGAGCAAUUUAGCAUUGUCUUUUACUAUUUUCUGUUUCAUAAAUCUCUCGGAAAAGAUAUUUGAUCGUGGUCCUUGUUUGUUUAUGGCUUAUGUAAAUCAUUUUAACACAAUUAUCCCACUUCACUGGUUGGGAAUUCUCUGCUAUGAUAGCCAAAAAACCAUUACUCAUCAUGAUCAUGAAGCUUCUUAUCUUAAGUAUUCUGUAUUUGGUUAUAUACUACUAUUACUGAUGACACUUUUACAAUGGCGGCGCAAAAUCUAAUUAUAGACGAUGCAUGGAGACCAGGAAUUAGUAUAGAGAGAUGUGGUUUGAGUGUUAAGUGGUCUGCAACUAUAUACUUUUAUGGUCCCUGUUUGAUUAUUUUGCUAUACUGUUUGACUACGUUUAUUUCGGUUUAUUGGACGGCAAUACGAAGUAAAAAACAAUUCAAUAAAGUUAAGUUAAAUGGACCUAAAAAAUUUCUUAUAACUCCAAUUGGCGUAUAUGGCAGAUGAUGGUCAUAUGUUGGUUUUUAGAAAUUCUGUCGUAUGUAUUACAUAGGCAUGAGUUUAAAAUUUCAUCCAAAAUAAUCGAUUAUAUUAAUUCACUGCAGGGAGUAUAUAUAUUUUUCAUUAUCAUCGGACAAAAAGAAGUUCGGAAUUCCUUUAAAAAAAGAUAUUUUAGCAAGAAAUACAGAAGGGAACGACAAAAUGAAAUUAAAAACAACCAUCAGCGGCGCAUGCAAUCUGCACGAACCGAGAAUAGUGAAUACUUGUAUGAACAAGACGAAUAAAUGUUAGUAUUAUGCUCUUUUUAAGAGAAAUGUGUGCGCUCUUUUCUUUUUGCCGAUCACAGUUUUAAUGAUUCCUUAGAUUAUAAGUUUAUUAUAAAUAUAAAGA